rnacentral:rRNA from 1 species
AUGCUAAGCAAUGCAUUGCCACCUAAUAUUGGCGACCGUCUGCCUAGUCUCAUUCAACUUAACUUGGCCGGUAACCUGUUUGAAGGUAACAUCCCAGCUUCCCUAGGCAAUGCUCAAGGUCUAAAAUUGAUAGAUUUAUCAAAUAACAGUUUCAUUGGGAAAAUUCCUACUUCUUUUGGAAAGCUUUCAAAACUGACUAGGCUAAACCUUGAGCAUAACCAGCUUGAAUCAAGGGACAACCGAGACUGGGAGUUCGUAAAUGCAUUGAGAAAUUGUGGAUCUCUAAAUAUACUAUCACUUUCUUACAAUCCGCUGCAGGGAUCUAUUCCCCAGUCCAUUGGUGACCUAUCCCCCAGCCUUGAGACCCUCGUGCUGCUUGGAAACAACUUAUCAGGACAAGUACCCCAGAGCAUCAGAAAACUUAGUGCCUUAGCUAAACUGUCACUAGGUGAAAAUAAUUUAGGUGGUACAAUUGAAGGAUGGCUUGGUGACCUAAAAGGCCUUGCAGUAUUAUAUCUCUAG